GGUCAGUAAUAAAAAAACUUUAUGAAUUAAGUUUUUUAUCCUACAUUGAACUUUUGAUGUCGUCCCUUAGAUCAUGUCAACUCUUUUAAGAUGAGGAAAAUCAGGAAAUUUUUAAGAUGAGGAAAAUCAGAAAAUUUUUAAGAUUAGGAAAAUCAGGAAAUAGAAGGGGAGUGACUGACGAACAACUUCCUUUCACAUCAACCC
rnacentral:lncRNA from 1 species